rnacentral:rRNA from 1 species
GGACCCGCACAAGUGGUGGAGCAUGUUGUUUAAUUCGACAUCACACGCAAAACCUUACCAGGGUUUGACAUAUCUGGCAAUGCUAUAGAAAUAUAGCGGAGGUUAACCGGAAUACAGGUGGUGCAUGGUUGUCGUCAGCUCGUGUCGUGAGAUGUUGGGUUAAGUCCCGCAACGAGCGCAACCCUUAUUGUUAGUUAAUUUAUCUAACGAGACUGCCAUCGCAAGAUGGAGGAAGGUGGGGAUGACGUCAAAUCAUCAUGCCCUUUAUACCCUGGGCUACAAACGUGCUACAAUGGUCGGUACAAACUGUCGCGAAACGGUAACGUCAAGCUAAUCAGAAAAGCCGAUCUCAGUUCGGAUUGAGGGCUGCAAUUGUCCUCAUGAAGUUGGAAUCACUAGUAAUCGCGAAUCAGACAUGUCG